GGCCUUACGUCGUCCAGCGGCCCAGGACACCGCACUCGGGUUCGCCCGAUGCGGAAACCCCGGUUCGAAUCCGGGCGUUGGCCA
rnacentral:tRNA from 1 species